rnacentral:rRNA from 1 species
GUCGAGCGGUAACAGAUCGCUGUGAUCCCUUCGGGGUGAACUUGACGCUGACGAGCGGCGGACGGGUGAGUAACGCGUAGGAAUCUGCCCAGUAGAGGGGGGAUAGCCCGAGGAAACUCGGAUUAAUACCGCAUACGCCCUACGGGGGAAAGGCCGGGAUCUUCGGACCGGUCACUAUUGGAUGAGCCUGCGUUGGAUUAGCUAGUUGGUAGGGUAAAGGCCUACCAAGGCGACGAUCCAUAGCUGGUCUGAGAGGAUGAUCAGCCACACUGGAACUGAGACACGGUCCAGACUCCUACGGGAGGCAGCAGUGGGGAAUAUUGGACAAUGGGGGCAACCCUGAUCCAGCCAUGCCGCGUGUGUGAAGAAGGCCUUCGGGUUGUAAAGCACUUUCAGUAGUGAGGAAGGGGUAAGUGUUAAUAGCACUUAUCAUUGACGUUAGCUACAGAAGCAGCACCGGCUAACUCCGUGCCAGCAGCCGCAGUAAUACGGAGGGUGCAAGCGUUAAUCGGAAUUACUGGGCGUAAAGCGCGCGUAGGCGGUUUGGUCAGUUGGAUGUGAAAGCCCCGGGCUCAACCUGGGAACUGCAUUCAAUACUGCCAGGCUAGAGUACGGUAGAGGGGGGUAGAAUUCCACG